AUAUUAACAGACGAAAGAAGCUUCUGCGGAGAGACAUAUAUCACAUUUUUUGACAUGUUGGCGGACAAAUAGAUGAUCAUGUGCUUGUCAACUGAAUUAAGUUUCAUUACAUCAUAAAAUUUGAAUUAAAAAUAUAUUAUACAAUUAUGUUCAUUUGGUAUAAUAUGCAAUCCUCUUUAAAUGUCAUCCUCCAGAACUGAAUUUUACUCCAACUUCUGCAACUUGCUCGAUGUAUCUUUCACAAG
rnacentral:lncRNA from 1 species